CGAGCGCACCCUUGUCAUUAGUUGCUACAUUUAGUUGGGCACUCUAAUGAGACUGCCGGUGACAAACCGGAGGAAGGUGGGGAUGACGUCAAGUCCUCAUGGCCCUUAUCGGUGGGGCUACACACGUCAUACAAUGGCUGGUACAGAGGGUUGCCAACCCGCGAGGGGGAGCUAAUCCCAUAAAACCAGUCGUAGUCCGGAUCGCAGUCUGCAACUCGACUGCGUGAAGUCGGAAUCGCUAGUAAUCGCGGAUCAGCAUGCCGCGGUGAAUACGUUCCCGGGUCUU
rnacentral:rRNA from 1 species